UGAACGCUGGCGGCAUGCCUUACACAUGCAAGUCGACCGGCAGCACGGGUGCUUGCACCUGGUGGCGAGUGGCGAACGGGUGAGUAAUACAUCGGAACAUGUCCUGUAGUGGGGGAUAGCCCGGCGAAAGCCGGAUUAAUACCGCAUACGAUCUACGGAUGAAAGCGGGGGACCUUCGGGCCUCGCGCUAUAGGGUUGGCCGAUGGCUGAUUAGCUAGUUGGUGGGGUAAAGGCCUACCAAGGCGACGAUCAGUAGCUGGUCUGAGAGGACGACCAGCCACACUGGGACUGAGACACGGCCCAGACUCCUACGGGAGGCAGCAGUGGGGAAUUUUGGACAAUGGGCGAAAGCCUGAUCCAGCAAUGCCGCGUGUGUGAAGAAGGCCUUCGGGUUGUAAAGCACUUUUGUCCGGAAAGAAAUCCUUGGCCCUAAUACGGUCGGGGGAUGACGGUACCGGAAGAAUAAGCACCGGCUAACUACGUG
rnacentral:rRNA from 1 species